rnacentral:rRNA from 1 species
UAGGGAAUCUUCGGCAAUGGGGGCAACCCUGGCCGAGCAACGCCGCGUGAGUGAAGAAGGUUUUCGGAUCGUAAAGCUCUGUUGUAAGAGAAGAACGUGUGUGAGAGUGGAAAGUUCACACAGUGACGGUAACUUACCAGAAAGGGACGGCUAACUACGUGCCAGCAGCCGCGGUAAUACGUAGGUCCCGAGCGUUGUCCGGAUUUAUUGGGCGUAAAGCGAGCGCAGGCGGUUUAAUAAGUCUGAAGUUAAAGGCAGUGGCUUAACCAUUGUUCGCUUUGGAAACUGUUAAACUUGAGUGCAGAAGGGGAGAGUGGAAUUCCAUGUGUAGCGGUGAAAUGCGUAGAUAUAUGGAGGAACACCGGUGGCGAAAGCGGCUCUCUGGUCUGUAACUGACGCUGAGGCUCGAAAGCGUGGGGAGCAAACAGG